rnacentral:lncRNA from 1 species
UAGACUAUUAAAACUGGAAGCUAGAAACAUGUUAGUGGAAAAUUCUACUUUUCACCAUUUAUGCUAUCUGUUUAAAUGUUAUAGUUUGUUCACUUUGGACUGUGAGAAGAGGUCAGUCUCACCACCGUUUUACCCCAGUGUUGUGCCAGCGUAAACCUCUUGAGAAUCAUUUGCGAAGAGCAUGCAUAUACGGACAAGACAGAGAUAAAGUACAGCUAUCUAAGACAGAUAAGUGACGUGACCUUUGGAGCAUUUCUUCAGCGAUCCUUGAAAUCUGGCUCAUGGAAGUAUUGUCAGAAGUUGUUUCCUCUAAAUGAAACCCAAAGUGGAAGCCUGUCCAAGUGUCUGUGGACUCCUACCACCUUGGGCACUGCCCAUCUCGACCCCGGCUCUGACUGCCCUUAGUGCUGAUUUACAGCCGCCGGUGGCUUGAUUGCUCUUCUUGCUCCCAGCACACUGCCCCUUGGGACAUGCGAUGACAGAGAGCUCCCUCAACUGCCACCAACUUCUUGGAAAGGUGAAGUCACUCCUUGUAUUUCACACAAUCAAGGCUCUGGUCCUUGUCCUCCCUAUGUCUGACUUGCUUUCUGUGUCUAAUUCUGCUUUCUGAUUAGGAUUUCUUUCACUAACAUUCAAGCAUUACAGUCUUUUUUGCCAAAACAAUCUGUAGUAGCAAC